GAUUGAAGGACUCUUUGCCAAGGAAAGAAACACGUGAAUGAAUGAAGGCAUGAAUCGGGUCCAGAUCACCUAGAAGAGAGCCCAAGGGGUAGAGACGAGAGCUCCUCUGCACUUCUCCACACCGCAUCCAACAUCUACGCCGGACGUGCACUGCCUUCUGGAGCCGGGGGUAUGGACAGAACACAGUUCAGUCUAACACGCUCCCGUCUUGAAACCAUCUCUGUCUGGAGGGGAGGGGAGCCGGACACUGGACCAAGC
rnacentral:lncRNA from 1 species